ensembl:rRNA 5S_rRNA 5S ribosomal RNA
GUCUACGGCCAUACCACCCUGAACGCGCCCGAUCUCGUCUGAUCUCGGAAGCUAAGCAGGGUCGGGCCUGGUUAGUACUUGGAUGGGAGAAUUACAGUGCAGACCUCAGGGUUUUAGAGC